AUUGAACGCUGGCGGCAUGCUUUACACAUGCAAGUCGGACGGCAGCACAGAGAAGCUUGCUUCUUGGGUGGCGAGUGGCGAACGGGUGAGUAAUAUAUCGGAACGUACCGAGUAAUGGGGGAUAACUAAUCGAAAGAUUAGCUAAUACCGCAUAUUCUCUGAGGAGGAAAGCAGGGGACCUUCGGGCCUUGCGUUAUUCGAGCGGCCGAUAUCUGAUUAGCUAGUUGGUGGGGUAAAGGCCUACCAAGGCGACGAUCAGUAGCGGGUCUGAGAGGAUGAUCCGCCACACUGGGACUGAGACACGGCCCAGACUCCUACGGUAGGCAGCAGUGGGGAAUUUUGGACAAUGGGCGCAAGCCUGAUCCAGCCAUGCCGCGUGUCUGAAGAAGGCCUUCGGGUUGUAAAGGACUUUUGUCAGGGAAGAAAAGGCUGUUGCUAAUAUCGACAGCUGAUGACGGUACCUGAAGAAUAAGCACCGGCUAACUACGUG
rnacentral:rRNA from 1 species